rnacentral:piRNA from 1 species
UGAAAGAAGACUCUUAGGACAAGUAGGUGA